rnacentral:rRNA from 1 species
GACGAACGCUGGCGGCGUGCUUAACACAUGCAAGUCGAACAGUGGCGAACGGGUGAGUAACACGUGCGUAACCUGCCCUCCACUUUGGGAUAACUCCGAGAAAUCGGGGCUAAUACUGGAUAGUGGGGGAUGGGCUCGCGGCCUAUCAGAUUGUUGGUGAGGUAGUGGUCACCAAGGCGGGCCGGGUAGCCGGCCUGAGAGGGAGACCGGCCAAACGGGGACUGGGACGCGGCCCAGAAGCCGACGGGAGGCAGCAGUGGGGAAUAUUGGACAAUGGGCGAGAGCCUGAUUCAGGGACGCCGCGGGGGGGAGUACGGCCUUCGGGUUGUAAACCUCUUUCAGCAAGGAAGGGGGACUUGCAGAAGAAGCGCCGGCUAAUUACGGGCCAGCAGCCGCGGUAAUA